rnacentral:rRNA from 1 species
AAUGAACGUUGGCGGCGUGGAUUAGGCAUGCAAGUCGAGUGGGUUUAGGCCCACGGCGAAAGGGACAGUAACACGUGGAUACUUACCUUGGGGCUCGGGAUAACCGCGGGAAACUGCGGAUAAUACCGAAUAACGUCUUCGGACCAAAGAUUUAUCACCCUUAGAGAGGUCCGCGUCCUAUUAGCUAGUUGGUGAGGUAACGGCUCACCAAGGCGACAAUGGGUAGCGGGUGUGAGAGCACGACCCGCGUCACUGGGACUGAGAUACUGCCCAGACACCUACGGGUGGCUGCAGUCGAGAAUCUUCGGCAAUGGGCGAAAGCCUGACCGAGCGACGCCGCGUGCGGGAUGAAGGCCCUCGGGUUGUAAACCGCUGUGGAGAAGGAGUAAAACUGAACGAUUUCUCUAGAAAGCACAGGCUAAGUUCGUGCCAGCAGCCGCUGUAACAC